rnacentral:rRNA from 1 species
GGCCGCGGGAAUUCGAUUAGAGUUUGAUCCUGGCUCAGGAUCAACGCUGGCGGCGUGCCUAACACAUGCAAGUCGAACGCGAAAGUGGAGCAAUCCAUGAGUAGAGUGGCAAACGGGUGAGUAACACGUGGGUGACCUGCCUUCGAGCGGGGGAUAACGUCCCGAAAGGGACGCUAAUACCGCAUAACAUCCUGCCUUUUAAGAGGUGGAGAUCAAAGCCGGGGAUCGCAAGACCUGGCACUUGAAGAGGGGCCCGCGCCUGAUUAGCUAGUUGGUGGGGUAAUGGCUCACCAAGGCAACGAUCAGUAUCCGGCCUGAGAGGGCGGACGGACACACUGGGACUGAGACACGGCCCAGACUCCUACGGGAGGCAGCAGUGGGGAAUUGUUCGCAAUGGGCGCAAGCCUGACGACGCAACGCCGCGUGGAGGAUGAAGACCUUCGGGUCGUAAACUCCUUUCGAUCGAAACGAAUGGUUUCCGGGUGAACAAUCCGGAAAAGUGACGGUACCGAGAGAAGAAGCCCGGCUAACUCCGUGCCAGCAGCCGCGGUAAUACGGGGGGGGCAAGCGUGGUUCGGAAUUACUGGGCGUGAAGGGCUCNUAGGUUGCCAACUAAGUCAGACGUGAAAUCCCUCACCUUAACUGGGGGAACGGGUCUGAUACUGGAUGGGUUGAGUUCGGGAGAGGGAUGCGGAAUCCCCGCGUACCGGGGAAAUGCGUAAAAUUCUGGAGGAACACCGCGGGCAAAGGGGGCCCUGCAACAAUACUGACACGAGGGGCCGAAACCACGGGAGACAACGGGAUCAAUGCCGUGCGACCCGACGCCAAGACAGAGAGGGC